rnacentral:lncRNA from 1 species
GUGGUACUUCUCUUCCCAGUUCGGUAGGAAGGGGUUGCUGAAAGGUGCUCCAUCUUCUAUCCACAACUGGAAGAAGAGGUACUUCUACGUCCGAUGUCCGACCCUGAGGCUGGGAUUGCCCCCCUGGGGCUCCCUGAGGGACUCCGUCCGUCGGGCUUCUAGCUUGGGAAAAGACGAUCUAGAAGCCUUCCAUAAACUUGAGACUUAUCC